CUCAGAUUUUAUUUGCAAAAUAGUCUCUGUAUAAACAUGUCAAAAGUAUAAAGAGCAUAUUAAUGUUAAUGUCUGAACACUGCUCAUUAGCACUACAGAAAUGAAACACACAUCAUGAUUGGUCAGAUCUGUCACAUGACUUAGUAGAAAACACACUAUGAUUACUUAGACCUCGGGUCAUAUACACUGAUAUUUUUUGUGAAAAUACUCAUAUACUUCCAUGUAGAAAAGUAACAUUUCUACAAAAGAUGCAGCUUUUUAAACAGAAUUAAUAAAUAAAGUCAGAUCAUCUUCUGUAUCAUAUAAAUUCAAUCUAAAAUUAAAAUGUAUAAAAACGUUCAGUUUAGUACAAAAAUCUCUAUUCUACCCGAGAUCUAAUGAUUAAUACAUUAUAAUAUCACCAAAGAAACACUAUAUUACAAAGUGUUAGUUAAAUGCAAAAACUAAAAUAUUCUAAAAGAUGAAAACACUACUCAUAAACUUAUAAGAUAUAUAACAAACAAUACAGUAUCACACAUACUGCCACCUUUUAUUUAACCAUUCUCAAUCAUAACAAAUCAUAUGACAAGUCACAUGACAAUAACAUGACAAGUCACAUGACAAUAACAUGACAAUAACAUGACAACAACAUAAUCUGAACUGGUAACUUAUUGAUUGUCUUAUUUCAAAUAACAAUUUCAACAUUAAAUCUGGGACUACCAACAGUAACCAUCACUAUGUCUACUUUAAGGCUGUUUUAAGUGAAUUAAUUGUUCUUUCGUUCAAAAUUGUCAAUACUUUUAAGGUACAAUAUAUAACUGGAAAAUGAAUAAGACUGAAAAAAUAUAAGCCUGUACAAUAAAUUUGAAACAUUGAGGUUGCCUUUAAACACAUAAUUCAUGAUAGUAUAGUUAAUGGGGUUGUGUUACUGAAUCUCUAGUUUUCUGUACUAAAUCUCAAUCAAUUAAUAGACAGUUGAUGUGUGGGUACAUUCCUUCCCAUGAUCCCCAAAAAUUCAAGUCACAAACCUUGUUUUAAUAAUUGACCUAAUAAUUCCAUGAAUAAGCAUGUACAAUUGUAUCUUCCAAAAACACUGAAAACUAUAUUGUUAUUUAGUACACACAAAAGAGAACAGACUGAUAUAUUGACACAUAUUUCCCUAUAAAUGUUUUUAUAUGAAAGAUGUUAUUUGAUUAAUAUUUUUGAUUUUAAAAGUUCAGGGCACUGAUGUGAAACAGAAAAGUUCAGGGCACUGAUGUGAAACAGAAAAGUUCAGGGCACUGAUGUGAAACAGAAAACAAGUCAUUCUAAGCACCAUUUCAAUGAUUUGAUUAUGUAUAACAUUUACAGAAUUCAUCAUACCUAUUUGCACUGAAAGAAAUGUCACAAUGUAAGAUAAUGCUCACAAACCUCAUGAGUUUGGGUGAUAAGAAGAAAAAUGAAAAGUUUUCUUUGGGAGAGGAAUAUUGCAUUAAGAUGAAAUAUGAGUCUCAUAAUUUACAACUAGCAUAUUCAUUAAAGGUUAAACUUUGCAUAUUUUAUUGAAAGUUAAACUUGACAUAUUUUAUCAAAGGUUAAACUUCUCUUAUUUUAUUAAAGGUUAAACUUUGCUUAUUUCAUUAAAGGUUAAUAUUUGCAUAUUUUGUUCAAGGUUAAACUUUUCAUAUUUUAUUACUGUACAAAGGUUUAACUUGGCAUAUUGUAUUAAAGGUUCAAGCAUUGCAUAUCAUUUUAAGGUUAAACUUGGCAUAUAUUUGAUUGAAGAAAUAAAACCUUGCAUAAUUCAUUAAACCCGGCAUAUUUUAUUUUAAAGAUACAGUCAAUUUAAAGUUGUUAAACAGUUUUUACCCUGUGCAAAACAGUUUGAACAAGUAGUGAUAUCAUGCUAUGUGAUACCCUAACCUUUUAUAAAUCUUAUAACAAUAAAAACAUCACUUUAAGUACUUCAAAACUGGAUUGAACAAUUGUUUUCAACUCACAAAAACUGUAUGCAGUGGUAAAGUAGAAGUAAAAAACACAAAUAUUGACUUUUGUACUCAUAAUUAUGAAAAUUUUAUGUACAAUUGUACAAGGUACAAGCCAAAAAAUCAUAUAAAAAAAGUGUGUCUGACUGUCUGGUCAGUAUAACAUUUCUUACUUAUCUGUUGAAAGAUGUUCAAACUUAUGUAUAAAAUGUUGAUACUUUUUACAUGAGGAAUGCUACCUUUCAUUGCAACAAGUUGGAUGUCAACCUAUAAAUAUCUCUAAAUAUAUAAAUACAAAGCUUUGUUACCCACUUUAAAGCCAUAAUACAAAGAUUCUCAUCUCCUGUACCACCAAUACUCAAGACCAAAAAAAAACCUUCUAUUUUGAUUAAAGACUAUUUUCUAAAAUUUGCUUCAUUUUCAUAAAAUAUGACCAAAUAAAUUUAUAAGAAAUUGCAAAUCAACCACAUUUAAAUAAAAGUUUGAUGAUUUUUUUCGGGAUUU
rnacentral:lncRNA from 1 species